CGCUGGCGGCGUGCUUAACACAUGCAAGUCGAACGGAAAGGCCCUGCUUUUGUGGGGUGCUCGAGUGGCGAACGGGUGAGUAACACGUGAGUAACCUGCCCUUGACUUUGGGAUAACUUCAGGAAACUGGGGCUAAUACCGGAUAGGAGCUCCUGCUGCAUGGUGGGGGUUGGAAAGUUUCGGCGGUUGGGGAUGGACUCGCGGCUUAUCAGCUUGUUGGUGGGGUAGUGGCUUACCAAGGCUUUGACGGGUAGCCGGCCUGAGAGGGUGACCGGCCACAUUGGGACUGAGAUACGGCCCAGACUCCUACGGGAGGCAGCAGUGGGGAAUAUUGCACAAUGGGCGGAAGCCUGAUGCAGCAACGCCGCGUGCGGGAUGACGGCCUUCGGGUUGUAAACCGCUUUCGCCUGUGACGAAGCGUGAGUGACGGUAAUGGGUAAAGAAGCACCGGCUAACUACGUGCCAGCAGCCGCGGUGAUACGUAGGGUGCGAGCGUUGUCCGGAUUUAUUGGGCGUAAAGGGCUCGUAGGUGGUUGAUCGCGUCGGAAGUGUAAUCUUGGGGCUUAACCCUGAGCGUGCUUUCGAUACGGGUUGACUUGAGGAAGGUAGGGGAGAAUGGAAUUCCUGGUGGAGCGGUGGAAUGCGCAGAUAUCAGGAGGAACACCAGUGGCGAAGGCGGAUCUCUGGGCCUUUCCUGACGCUGAGGAGCGAAAGCGUGGGGAGCGAACAGGCUUAGAUACCCUGGUAGUCCACGCUGUAAACGGUGGGUACUAGGUGUGGGGUCCAUUCCACGGGUUCCGUGCCGUAGCUAACGCUUUAAGUACCCCGCCUGGGGAGUACGGCCGCAAGGCUAAAACUCAAAGGAAUUGACGGGGCCCCGCACAAGCGGCGGAGCAUGCGGAUUAAUUCGAUGCAACGCGUAGAACCUUACCUGGGUUUGACAUGGAUCGGGAGUGCUCAGAGAUGGGUGUGCCUCUUUUGGGGUCGGUUCACAGGUGGUGCAUGGCUGUCGUCAGCUCGUGUCGUGAGAUGUUGGGUUAAGUCCCGCAACGAGCGCAACCCUUGUUCACUGUUGCCAGCACGUUAUGGUGGGGACUCAGUGGAGACCGCCGGGGUCAACUCGGAGGAAGGUGGGGAUGACGUCAAGUCAUCAUGCCCCUUAUGUCCAGGGCUUCACGCAUGCUACAAUGGCUGGUACAGAGAGUGGCGAGCCUGUGAGGGUGAGCGAAUCUCGGAAAGCCGGUCUCAGUUCGGAUUGGGGUCUGCAACUCGACCUCAUGAAGUCGGAGUCGCUAGUAAUCGCAGAUCAGCAACGCUGCGGUGAAUACGUUCCCGGGGCUUGUACACACCGCCCGUCAAGUCAUGAAAGUUGGUAACACCCGAAGCCGAUGGCCUAACCGUUGUGGGGGAGCCGUCGAAGGUGGGACUGG
rnacentral:rRNA from 1 species